UACGGAGGAUGCGAGCGUUUAUCCGGAUUUAUUGGGUUUAAAGGGAGCGUAGGCGGGUUGUUAAGUCAGUUGUGAAAGUUUGCGGCUCAACCGUAAAAUUGCAGUUGAUACUGGCAUCCUUGAGUACAGUAGAGGUAGGCGGAAUUCGUGGUGUAGCGGGUGAAAAUGCUUAGAUAUCACGCAGAACUCCGAUUGCGAAGGCAGCAUACCGGCGUCAACUGACGCUGAGGCACGAAAGCGUGGGUAGUCGA
rnacentral:rRNA from 1 species